rnacentral:rRNA from 1 species
AGAGUUUGAUCAUGGCUCAGAAUCAACGCUGGCGGCGUGCCUAACACAUGCAAGUCGAACGAGAAAGUGGAGCAAUCCAUGAGUAGAGUGGCGUACGGGUGAGUAACACGUGACUAACCUUCCUUCGAGUGGGGAAUAACCUCGGGAAACCAGGGCUAAUACCGCAUAACAUCUUCGGGUGAAACUCCCGGGGAUCAAAGGGGUAAGACGCUUGAAGAGGGGGUCGCGGCUGAUUAGUUAGUUGGCGGGGUAAUGGCCCACCAAGACGAUGAUCAGUAUCCGGCCUGAGAGGGCGCACGGACACACUGGAACUGAAACACGGUCCAGACUCCUACGGGAGGCAGCAGUGGGGAAUUUUGCGCAAUGGGGGAAACCCUGACGCAGCAACGCCGCGUGGAGGAUUAAGUCCCUUGGGAUGUAAACUCCUUUCGACUGGGAAGAAACUGACGGUACCAGUAGAAGAAGCCCCGGCUAACUUCGUGCCAGCAGCCGCGGUAAUACGAGGGGGGCAAGCGUUGUUCGGAAUUAUUGGGCGUAAAGGGUGCGUAGGCUGUGCGGUAAGUCACCUGUGAAAACUCUGGGCUCAACCCAGAGCCUGCAGGCGAAACUGCCGUGCUGGAGUAUGGGAGAGGUGCGUGGAAUUCCCGGUGUAGCGGUGAAAUGCGUAGAUAUCGGGAGGAACACCUGUGGCGAAAGCGGCGCACUGGACCAUAACUGACGCUGAUGCACGAAAGCUAGGGGAGCAAACAGGAUUAGAUACCCUAGUAGUCC